GAUGAACGCUGGCGGCGUGCCUAAUACAUGCAAGUCGAGCGAACAGACGAGGAGCUUGCUCCUCUGACGUUAGCGGCGGACGGGUGAGUAACACGUGGAUAACCUACCUAUAAGACUGGGAUAACUUCGGGAAACCGGAGCUAAUACCGGAUAAUAUAUUGAACCGCAUGGUUCAAUAGUGAAAGACGGUUUUGCUGUCACUUAUAGAUGGAUCCGCGCCGCAUUAGCUAGUUGGUAAGGUAACGGCUUACCAAGGCAACGAUGCGUAGCCGACCUGAGAGGGUGAUCGGCCACCCUGGAACUGAGACACGGUCCAGAACCCUACGGGAGGCCGCAGUAGGGAAUUUUCCGCAAUGGGCGAAAGCCUGACGGAGCAACGCCGCGUGAGUGAUGAAGGUCUUCGGAUCGUAAAACUCUGUUAUUAGGGAAGAACAAAUGUGUAAGUAACUAUGCACGUCUUGACGGUACCUAAUCAGAAAGCCACGGCUAACUACGUG
rnacentral:rRNA from 1 species